rnacentral:misc_RNA from 1 species
GGACUACUAGGGUUUCUAAUCCUGUUUGCUCCCCACGCUUUCGCUCCUCAGCGUCAGUAAUUGCCCAGAGACCCGCCUUCGCCACCGGUGUUCUUCCUGAUAUCUGCGCAUUUCACCGCUACACCAGGAGUUCCAGUCUCCCCUACAAUACUCGAGUCAGCCCGUAUCGAAUGCAGGCCCGGAGUUAAGCUCCGGGAUUUCACAUCCGACGUGACUAACCGCCUACGAGCUCUUUACGCCCAAUAAAUCCGGACAACGCUUGCACCCUACGUAUUACCGCGGCUGCUGGCACCG